UACGGAGGGGGCUAGCGUUGUUCGGAAUUACUGGGCGUAAAGCGCACGUAGGCGGCUUUGUAAGUUAGAGGUGAAAGCCCGGAGCUCAACUCCGGAAUUGCCUUUAAGACUGCAUCGCUUGAAUCAUGGAGAGGUGAGUGGAAUUCCGAGUGUAGAGGUGAAAUUCGUAGAUAUUCGGAAGAACACCAGUGGCGAAGGCGGCUCACUGGACUGGUAUUGACGCUGAGGUGCGAAAGCGUGGGGAGCAAACAGG
rnacentral:rRNA from 1 species